GAAGGAUUUGUAUAAAAUAGAAGAUUUCUAAUCUUAAUUAUUGAGAAAUUUACAGUUUUUCAUCCUUUA
rnacentral:tRNA from 1 species